CCAUUGUCCAUUGUAAAUUGUAGAAGUGCUUAUACGUUAAUCUUGGUAAAUAAGUAGAAUACUUGAGAGUUUAAAAUAUAUCCUGUCUUAUCUAGCAGGGUUAAAUGAAGAGGCAAGUAGAAAAACUUGUCUAUUUUAUUUCUUUUAUCAAACACUUAUCUUAACGACUAGAAUUUCUGGGAGGAGAGUUUUUCUUCCCAUGACCUCUUUG
rnacentral:lncRNA from 1 species